AUGCAAACGGCGAACGUUUACAAAAAGGAUGUCGUUUAAGAAAAGAAGGUAAUCAUAUGAAUUAUAAGGUAUGUUUCCGUCACACUAUCAACAAGUGUUUAUCUCUAUUGGUCCAGAUUUGUUUUGUUAUUAAAUGAGAAGAUGUAUUAGCAUAAUCCUCUACUUUAAGAGGCAUUUAAUAAAACUGAACGGUGACUGAUAAAUAGUAUUAACCCAAUAUAAAAAUAAAUACAUAGCGAAUGUUAAUUUUUAUUCUCUGACGGUUUGGUUUGAUGGUGUUUUUUCUCCUUCACAUUUUUCUUCGUUUAUUCUGGUUGUCUGGAUUUAUCAAGCGAUCAGCUGUCGACCAUUUAUUACGUCGGUUUAGUGUGAUCAAGGAUAUACGUUUACAGAAUAAGAAACAUGGACGCCCGUAUCAUAGUCAUACUAAUGGUAUGUGUUGUGAUGAUAUCGUGCAAACCCCCUCCCUGGAGGACUGGUGAAGUAGAAAAGAACCAUAAGUAUAUCAAGAUAAUGAGUUUAUUAUGUAAGGUCAGACCAACUACUCCUAAAUGUGUAAACUUUUUAGAAAAGGAAGAUGCGAAAAAGGCGAAAGCGAAAGUAACAAGAGAAGAAACACGACGAUCAUAUUAAAAAGGGAACAGAUACUGUUGCAGCGAAGCUGAGAUGACAAGCUAUUGCUAAAGGCUGAAUGUAAAAUUAUUACAGAAAUACCGUUGUGACAUAUUUAGGCGAUCUUAGAACUUACAACAUAAUAAUAACCAUCAUAAGCAGCCGCAAUGUCAAUAACAACUUUCGUUUUGUAAUUUAUUGUAUACAUAUACAAAAUAAACAACAAA